UACCCUUCUAUGUCUUGAUAUCGUUUUUAAAAAUCUAUAUACAUUCUCAUCUUGCUUUUUAAACUGGCUAAACAAUUUUUUAAAUUUUUGGAAACCAGUUCAGUAUACUGUAAAACUAUUUAGUUUUAUGUCACAAACUUGAUAGGCUAAAUAACUUUGAACAUGGAAUCAAAAUUUUCAGUAAAAAAAAAGACUGGGUUUAAACGUAAAUAUUUUAUCAAUGUUUCAAAGCUGGACAUGGAUUAAGUAGCAAAAUAAGAACUAUACUGCAAUUUAGAGCUAAUUGGAUUACAUAACAAACAUUUAUUAAACAACACUUUAAAUUUAUGAAAUAAGACAUUAUAUUGGAUAGGAUGUAUAAACGGUCAAACGUUAAAUAGGUGGAUAUACAACGAGUGUACAACUAGGCGUCGGCCAUUAAGGACACUAUUUAAGUUAAUUCUACCAAUCUAGUUUGAAAAUCCACGAGGAAAUAUCGGAGGCAAAAUUCAUGAAAACUAGAAGAUGCAGUUCCACGAAAACGCACAAAUGAAUCAAAGGACGUUCCUUGCAAUGAAAACAGGAAACGAUUGAAACUAAGGACAGGAAACACGGAGACCGUGCCUGACACGUAUCAGCCUCCAAUACAGGAGACAGCCGGGCCUGCCGCAACUACCGAUGUGAUUCAAGGUCUUUUCUCUGCAAACAUGCAACCCGUGCAUGAGGAACAGGAAAUUUCAGUACGUGGCGCAGCUGGAACAUCCAGAAACAUUCCAAUACUGCCAUCAUCAUCUGCUGUGACUGCUGCUGCUGGUACUGGAAAUCGAAAUGAGAAGAACGCAGACGAUGGGCAUAGAGAUAUCACAACAGCAAAGGCAGGGUCAUGGUAAAGAAGAAGACUAUAGAAAAUAAUAAAUGUUAACAUAGUACUAUAUACUGUAUUUUAUAUGUGUUUAGUGUAUCUCUUUAUUUCCACUACAUGUGUUGAUAAGUUUUAAAUUAAGAAGAAUAUACAUGUGUUAUACUUUUUUUAACUGUUUCGGAUAAACCUGUACACUUUCUGCUAGUAAUAAAGAUAUACAUUUUUGUAUAUUCACACACACUUGCAAAACAACUGAAUGUGUAUUAGUCAUCAUACUUUGCUACAUGAAACAUCGUGUAUUUUUAAGAAGUUAGUAGGCAUGAUACAAAAAAGAAAGACAUUAAUGUAUAAUUAAACAUCGAUUUUAAAUUUUAUAAUUGCAAUAUAUUUCAUCAUUUGAGACGUAUCAACCAGCUGUAAGAAAACCUGUUAAGGUUUGAGAACUGAUUCGCGUUAUCUAUUCAAUAAUAGGCGACCUGUCACCUUUUUAGUUAAUUUUUCCCUAAAAACAAAGUAUUCCGAUUGUCCAAUAACUGGUUCUUAACUAGAGCCUGUUUGUUGCUAGUUUCCUAAAAAACGAAUAUAUCGAAAACAUUCCAAUUUUACAAUAACUGAUAGCGCGAUUCUUAGUUAAGAUUCUUGUUACCAUUUUCCGACAAUCGGAAAGAUCUGGCGGACAUAUUUGCUUUAAGAAAUCUAGCAACACGAAUCUUAACGUUUUCACAUUGAACAAUUGGAAUACUGUGGCAUAGUCGGUAAUAGCAACAUGAACUUUUUCUAGUUGAUAUACGUGUUACCUGUUAUUGGACAAUCAGCUACUGUAUUUUGUUUCUAGGAAGAAAUAACUGAUGGCGGUUCUGUGCAGUCACAGGGUUUUAAUUUGUGUAACGAUAUUUUUGUUACCGGAAAGAUAUUUUGGGUUAACAUUUUGUGUAUUAGCUUGUAUCUCACUAACCAUUAGCAGGAAUGGAUAGAAAUUUCAAAAUUUUGUUCACUGUGAUAACGUGGCAUUUACUGCACAGGUUCCAUAACUCUUUCUCAUAAAGUUAUGCCACUUUUUCGAUCUAGCUGAAGAGUGAAAUUCACAUGAGGUGAUUUUUUUAUUAUUCAAGCUUGUUGCCUUUUUACUUAAGUACUUUUUGAAAUCUAUUUUCAUCAUUUUGAUAUCUCUUUUGUCAGAUCAUUUUUCAACGCAAAUACUGAAUAGUUUUUCUUGUUUUUUUCUUUUUAAUAAUAUCUGUGUUCUGUUAUAAAUUACAUUAUAUCUAAAUGUCAGCUGAAAUAGUGGAUCUGUAUUUAUUUUAUUACACUUAAAACAUUUUCUGAUGUCAUACAAUAUACAUGUAUUCGUCAACUUUUUUCACAGAGAGAUAAGCUCUUUCCACAGCUAUCCAACUAUAUUUGGGGAUUUAAUAUCUAUCAAUGACUUGGUAUAUAGUUGAUAUCUGAAUCUUGCAGAAUAAAGCCGCAUUUCACAAAAAAAACUUUGUGAUGGAUUAGUUGGAUCAAACAGUAAAUUUGAAUUAUGUAAUUAAAAGCAUUAUUGUUGUUAAAUAUGUUUUAAGAACAGUUAUUAACUCCCUUUUUAAAUGGUACAAUAUAUCUGUUUCAAGUUUUGUGUGCAUGUACACAGGGUAUUCUUGAGUGUAUUAUACAUUUUUCUUGAAGUU